UUCCGGUUGAUCCUGCCGGAGGGGACCCCUAGCGGGCUCGCACUAAGCCAUGCAAGUCGGCUGGGGGCCAUUCCGCCCCUGGCGGCGCACGGCUCAGUAAUACACGGUCAACCUACCCUGGGGACCGGGAUAACCUCGGGAAACUGAGGCUAAUCCCGGAUAGGGGCCGGGUACUGGAAUGUCCCGGCCUCGAAAGUAGGCGGGGGGAGCCCCGCUGAGGCCCCAGGAUGGGACCGUGGCCUAUCAGGUAGUAGGUGGGGUAACGGCCCACCUAGCCUGAGACGGGUGCGGGCGGUGGGAGCCGGAGCCCGGAGAUGGGCACUGAGACAAGGGCCCAGGCCCUAAGGGGCGCAGCAGGCGGGAAACUUCCGCAAUGCGCGAAAGCGUGACGGAGUGAGCCCGCGUGCCGCCCGCUGAGGGCGGCUGUCCCCGGGUGUAAACAGCCCGGGACAGGAAGGGGAGGGCAAGGCUGGUGCCAGCCGCCGCGGUAAAACCAGCUCCUCGAGGGGUCCCCACGCAUACUGGGCCUAAAGCGUCCGUAGCCGGCCCCGCAAGUCCUCGGUUAAACCCACCGGAAGACCGGUGGGCUGCCGGGGAUACUGCGGGGCUAGGGAGCGGGAGGGGCCGGGGGUAUUCCGGGGGGAGCGGUAAAAUGCGUAGAUCCCCGGAGGACCACCGGUGGCGAAGGCGCCCGGCUGGAACGCGUCCGACGGUGAGGGACGAAAGCUGGGGGAGCAAACCGGAUUAGAUACCCGGGUAGUCCCAGCCGUAAACGAUGCCGGCUAGGUGCCGGCCGAGGUUUCGGCCUCGGCCGGUGUCGAAGCGAAGGCGUUAAGCCGGCCGCCUGAGGAGUACGGCCGCAAGGCUGAAACUUGAAGGAAUUGACGGGGGGGCACCACAAGGGGUGAAUGCCUGCGGCUUAAUUGGACUCAACGCCGGGAAUCUUACCGGGGGCGACAGCAGGAUGAAGGUCAGGCUGAAGACCUUACCUGACGCGCUGAGGGGUGGUGCAUGGCCGUCGCCAGCUCGUGCCGUGAGGUGUCCUGUUAAGUCAGGCAACGAGCGAGACCCA
rnacentral:rRNA from 1 species